rnacentral:misc_RNA from 1 species
GCACUUACGCGGAGCGGUAAUGUGAGGAAGCCUCCCGCCAAACAGAUGAGGGAGGAGGAGGAGGGGAGAGGCCAGAGAGAGAAGCGGCUUUCGGGAAGGAAAGUGUGAUCUAGUAGGUGGAAUAGUCCUCUCCAAACUUUGACCUGAGAAUGACCCUCUAUUUGGAUUUGGAUUACACAAAGUUUAACGUUUUUUGGAAAAAUCCUACCUAGGUAAUGUGUAGUUCUCAAUGCAUCAUGUCAGGCAGCUUAUGAUGCCAAUUUGUCCCAUG